AGGUCAUUCAAAUUUCUGCCUAUCAACUUUCGAUGGUAAGGUAUUGGCUUACCAUGGUUUCAACGGGUAACGGGGAAUUAGGGUUCGAUUCCGGAGAGGGAGCUGAGAAACGGCUACCACAUCCAAGGAAGGCAGCAGGCGCGCAAAUUACCCAAUCCCGACCGGGGAGGUAGUGACAAUAAAUACUGAUACAGGGCUCUUUUGGGUCUUGUAAUUGGAAUGAGUACAAUUUAAACCUCUUAACGAGGAACAAUUGGAGGGCAAGUCUAGUGCCAGCAGCCGCGGUAAUUCCAGCUCCAAUAGCGUAUAUUAAAGUUGUUGCAGUUAAAAAGCUCGUAGUUG
rnacentral:rRNA from 1 species